rnacentral:tRNA from 1 species
GGCCUCGUAGCUCAGCUGGUAGAGCGUGCGCGUACACCGCGCAGAUGGCGUCCAUGCGUGGGUUCGAAUCCCACCGAGGCUA